rnacentral:rRNA from 1 species
GACGAACGCUGGCGGCGUGCUUAACACAUGCAAGUCGAACGGAAAGGCCCUGCUUUUGUGGGGCGCUCGAGUGGCGAACGGGUGAGUAACACGUGAGUAACCUGCCCCUGACUUUGGGAUAACUUCAGGAAACUGGGGCUAAUACCGGAGAGGAGCUCCUGCUGCAUGGUGGUGGGUGGAAAGUUUCGGCGGUUGGGGAUGGACUCGCGGCUUAUAGGCUGGUUGGUGGGGUAGUGGCUUACCAAGGGUUUGACGGGUAGCCGGCAUGGGAGGGGGACCGGCCCCAUUGGGCCUGGGAUAGGGCCCAGAUUCCAACGGGGGGCAGCGGUGGGGAAUAUUGCACAAUGGGCCGACGCCUGAGGCAGCAACGCCGCGUGCGGGAUAACGGCCUUCGGGUUUAAAACCGCUUUGGCAGGUGACGAGGUGUUAGUGACGGUAAUUAGUUAAGAAGCACCGGCUAACUACGUG